rnacentral:rRNA from 1 species
UGCCAGCCGCCGCGGUAACACGGGGGGCGCAAGCGUUAUUCGGAAUUAUUGGGCGUAAAGGGCGCGCAGGCGGUCUUGUCCGUCAGGUGUGAAAGUUCGGGGCUCAACCCCGGAAGUGCACUUGGAACAGCAAGACUUGAAUACGGUAGAGGAGAGAGGAAUUCCUGGUGUAGGGGUGAAAUUCGUAGAUAUCAGGAGGAACACCAAACGCGAAGGCAUUCUGCUGGUCAUUACCUGACGCUGAGGGACGAAAGCGUGGGGAGCGAACGGGAUUAGAUA